AGAGUUUGAUCAUGGCUCAGGACGAACGCUGGCGGCGUGCCUAAUACAUGCAAGCCGAGCGGAGUCAUGAGAGAGCUUGCUCUCGAUUGGCUUAGCGGCGGACGGGUGAGUAACACGUAGCAACCUGCCUGCAAGCCCGGGAUAACAUUCGGAAACGGAUGCUAAUACCGGAUACGCGGUUUUGUCGCAUGACGGAAUCGGGAAAGACGGAGCAAUCUGUCGCUUGCGGAUGGGCCUGCGGCGCAUUAGCUGGUUGGCGGGGUAACGGCCCACCAAGGCGACGAUGCGUAGCCGACCUGAGAGGGUGAUCGGCCACACUGGGACUGAGACACGGCCCAGACUCCUACGGGAGGCAGCAGUAGGGAAUCUUCCGCAAUGGACGAAAGUCUGACGGAGCAACGCCGCGUGAGUGAGGAAGGCCUUCGGGUCGUAAAGCUCUGUUGCCAGGGAAGAAUGUUUGGGGGAGUAACUGCCCCUGAAAUGACGGUACCUGAGAAGAAAGCCCCGGCUAACUACGUGCCAGCAGCCGCGGUAAUACGUAGGGGGCAAGCGUUGUCCGGAAUUAUUGGGCGUAAAGCGCGCGCAGGCGGCCUUGUAAGUCUGGUGUUUAACCCACGGGCUCAACCCGUGGUCGCACCGGAAACUGCAAAGCUUGAGUGCAGAAGAGGAAAGUGGAAUUCCACGUGUAGCGGUGAAAUGCGUAGAGAUGUGGAGGAACACCAGUGGCGAAGGCGACUUUCUGGGCUGUAACUGACGCUGAGGCGCGAAAGCGUGGGGAGCAAACAGGAUUAGAUACCCCCGUAGUCC
rnacentral:rRNA from 1 species